rnacentral:rRNA from 1 species
AACGAACGCUGGCGGCAUGCCUAACACAUGCAAGUCGAACGAGACCUUCGGGUCUAGUGGCGCACGGGUGCGUAACGCGUGGGAACCUGCCCUUAGGUUCGGCCUACCUCCCCGACAGGGGUGCUAAUACCGGAUCAUGUCUUCGGCCCAAAGAUUUAUCGCCUUUGGUUGGGCCCGCGUUGGAUUAGCUAGUUGGUAGGGUAAAAGCCUACCAAGGCGACGAUCCAUAGCUGGUCUGAGAGGAUGAUCAGCCACACUGGGACUGAGACACGGCCCAGACUCCUACGGGAGGCAGCAGUGGGGAAUAGUGGACAAUGGGCGAAAGCCUGAUCCAGCAAGGCCGCGUGAGUGAUGAAGGCCUUAGGGUUGUAAAGCUCUUUUACCCGGGAUGAUAAUGACAGUACCGGGAGAAUAAGCUCCGGCUAACUCCGUG